rnacentral:rRNA from 1 species
UGAGGAAUAUUGGUCAAUGGACGCAAGUCUGAACCAGCCAAGUAGCGUGCAGGAUGACGGCCCUAUGGGUUGUAAACUGCUUUUAUAUGGGGAUAAAGUGGGGAACGUGUUCCCUUUUGCAGGGACCAUAUGAAUAAGGACCGGCUAAUUCUGUGCCAGCAGCCGCGGUAAUACGGAAGGUUCGGGCGUUAUCCGGAUUUAUUGGGUUUAAAGGGAGCGUAGGCCGUUUGGUAAGCGUGUUGUGAAAUGUAGGAGCUCAACUUCUAGAUUGCAGCGCGAACUGUCAGACUUGAGUGCGCACAACGUAGGCGGAAUUCAUGGUGUAGCGGUGAAAUGCUUAGAUAUCAUGAAGAACUCCGAUUGCGAAGGCAGCUUACGGGAGCGCAACUGACGCUGAAGCUCGAAGGUGCGGGUAUCGAACAGG